UUAAAGCUCCCAUUGAGUUCAGUGGGAGAGGAUCAAGUACCAAAUCAGGAAGUUGGUAAUUGAAAAGGCGAGUGGUGAUAUGCCCGAAGAGAUAGCACCAAAGAGCUAAUUCCAAGCCCCCAAAGAGGAUGGCUCCCUUUUGACAAGAAGGACUCAGACUCUGGGAGUGACUGUGGGAGCUUUCAGCCUUUGUGUGAAAGCACCACAUUUUUGUUUUCAUCCUACAGAAGAUGACAGGAAGGAGGAGGAUGACUUAAUGAUCCAGUAGAUCCCAAAGCACUUUGCAAGCCACAUACAUUGAGAUUACUUCGCCCACCAAGAAAAUACAUCUUGGGAGAAAUUCAGCAGAUAUCAACAGUCCAGAACACAACAGUCCAGGAUGG